rnacentral:tRNA from 1 species
GGGGAUUUAGCUCAGUGGUAGAGUGCUUGCCUAGCAAGCGCACAAGGCCCUGGGUUCAGUCCCCA